rnacentral:rRNA from 1 species
AUUGAACGCUGGCGGCAUGCUUUACACAUGCAAGUCGAGCGGCAGCACGGGGGCAACCCUGGUGGCGAGUGGCGAACGGGUGAGUAAUACAUCGGAAUGUACCCAGUAGUGGGGGAUAACUAGUCGAAAGAUUAGCUAAUACCGCAUACGCACUAUGGUGGAAAGCGGGGGAUCGCAAGACCUCGCGCUAUUGGAGCAGCCGAUGUCCGAUUAGGUAGUUGGUGGGGUAAAGGCCUACCAAGCCUGCGAUCGGUAACUGGUCUGAGAGGACGACCAGUCACACUGGGACUGAGACACGGCCCAGACUCCUACGGGAGGCAGCAGUGGGGAAUUUUGGACAAUGGGCGCAAGCCUGAUCCAGCCAUGCCGCGUGAGUGAAGAAGGCCU